ACCUCGCAGGCAGCGCGUUUACGUCAGAGCGCCCGAGUCCACGGACCUCGCAGGCAGCGCGUUUACGUCAGAGCUCCCGAGUCCACGCACCUCGCAGGCAGUACGUUUACCUCAGAGCUCCCGAGUCCACCGACCUCGCAGGCAGCGCGUUUACGUCAGAGCUCCCGAGUCCACGCACCUCGCAGGCAGUGUAUUUACAUGGAAAUUGGAUCGAGGCACUGACGUUUAAAUCUUGGCUCCUGCUCCUGCCGUCUAGACAAAGGGCGCACCCAUUGCCGUCUCAGACACCAGAGGCUCCCACUUGACCAGGGGAAGCUGUUCAUGUUCUAUCCUGCGUGUUCUCGAGAAAGUUUUGAUGACAGAAAACAUCACACAGAAAGGGGAAGGCAUCGCAAGUUUCCAGCUCCAUGGAUUUUUGCAAACUGAGCACAUUUGUGGGCCAGGAGUGGGGCCCACAGCGAGAAUAUCCUUCCUGCUGCUCCUGCCAUCCAUCCACCAGCACAGCCAGUUCCCAGCUGUGGAACACACAGAGCUGUGCACUGUUGAGUUGAUCACGAUGAGAACAGUGAGUGUCUCUCACCUGUGGCUGCACUUGCUGGAAGCACCGCCUGCUCUGGCCUCUUUGCUCCAGAACAUUCCCUGCUGAACAGUGACACCAGGGAAGGCCAAGGAUGGGCACACAAGGCUCAGUCCUUCACCUGAUGGCGGCUUGGCCAUGUUCAUCUUUCCCUUUUCUCAAAGACCUGUGUGGGGCCAGAGAAAGCUGGGGUUUCCGGUGGCCUGCAGUGUGGCAGAAAGCAGAGCCUUCCACUGGGAAAAGGGGAAAAAGGGAAUUCUUCCGAAGAGAAGGAUGAAGCCAGCAGCAGGGGUCCCGGCAGGCCUGACCCCCAUGGAGCUGAUGAGGCCGAGUGUCAGGAAGCACUCCCAUUGUCCUCGAAAACAGACACAGGUCAACCUGCGUUACGGGGUCUGCGAGGUCAUCAGAUAACCCCACAGUGUCGAAUACUGUAACUACAUGCCUGCCUAAGAUGACCUGGUAUACUGUAGGUGCACACAAGAUUCUCCAUAGUGAAAGUACAUAUACAAUUGUUGCUAAUUUUUGAUCCUAGAAAAUCCACUGGAUUGAUACUUUAGAAGAGGAUAAUGGAUAAAAUCAAUCGAUCGGAAAAUUCAAAUAUUUAGAAAAUACUAGUUUCAAUCUACUGUAAAAAUAUCAUAAAUUUGUACUGAACUAUUUUUCCUUAUUACAAAAAUAUUCGAGCAAUAAAAAUGUCGGAUAUUA
rnacentral:lncRNA from 1 species